AGUGAACGCUGGCGGCAGGCCUAACACAUGCAAGUCGAACGGCAGCACAGUAAGAGCUUGCUCUUACGGGUGGCGAGUGGCGGACGGGUGAGGAAUACAUCGGAAUCUACUUUUUCGUGGGGGAUAACGUAGGGAAACUUAUGCUAAUACCGCAUACGACCUACGGGUGAAAGCAGGGGAUCUUCGGACUUUUCGCGAUUGAUUGAGCCGAUGUCGGAUUAGCUAGUUGGCGGGGUAAAGGCCCACCAAGGCGACGAUCCGUAGCUGGUCUGAGAGGAUGAUCAGCCACACUGGAACUGAGACACGGUCCAGACUCCUACGGGAGGCAGCAGUGGGGAAUAUUGGACAAUGGGCGCAAGCCUGAUCCAGCCAUACCGCGUGGGUGAAGAAGGCCUUCGGGUUGUAAAGCCCUUUUGUUGGGAAAGAAAAGCAGCAGGUUAAUACCCCGCUGUUCUGACGGUACCCAAAGAAUAAGCACCGGCUAACUUCGUG
rnacentral:rRNA from 1 species